rnacentral:rRNA from 1 species
ACCUGCGGAAGGAUCAUACAGAAAGUAACGCGGAUCAAACCGCGAACUUCUAAACCUUUGACGAUUGACUCAUGUUGCCUCGGCGGGUUCUCCCGCCAGAGGAUACAUCAAAACUCCUGUUUUAACGGUGUUGUCUGAGCUACAAGCAACGAAUCAAAACUUUCAACAACGGAUCUCUUGGUUCUGGCAUCGAUGAAGAACGCAGCGAAAUGCGAUAAGUAGUGUGAAUUGCAGAAUUCAGUGAAUCAUCGAAUCUUUGAACGCACAUUGCGCCCCUUGGUAUCCCGAGGGGCAUGCCUGUUCGAGCGUCAUUUCACCACUCAAGCCUGGCUUGGUGUUGGGCGACGUCCCCUUUGGGGACGCGCCUCGAAACGCUCGGCGGCGUGGCACCGGCUUUAAGCGUAGCAGAAUCUUUCGCUUUGAAAGUCGGGGCCCCGUCUGCCGGAAGUACCUACUCGCAAGGUUGACC